rnacentral:rRNA from 1 species
AGUGAACGCUGGCGGUAGGCCUAACACAUGCAAGUCGAACGGCAGCACAGUAAGAGCUUGCUCUUACGGGUGGCGAGUGGCGGACGGGUGAGGAAUACAUCGUAAUCUACUUUUUCGUGGGGGAUAACGUAGGGAAACUUACGCUAAUACCGCAUACGACCUACGGUUGAAAGCAGGGGAUCUUCGGACCUUGCGCGAUUGAAUGCGCCGCUUUCGGAUUAGCUAGUUGGCGGGGUAAAGCCCAACCCAGGCGACGAUCCGUAGCUGGUCUGAGAGGAUGAUCAGCCACACUGGAACUGAGACACGGUCCAGACUCCUACGGGAGGCAGCAGUGGGGAAUAUUGGACAAUGGGCGCAAGCCUGAUCCAGCCAUACCGCGUGGGUGAAGAAGGCCUUCGGGUUGUAAAGCCCUUUUGUUGGGAAAGAAAAGCAGCAGGUUAAUACCCCGCUGUUCUGACGGUACCCAAAGAAUAAGCACCGGCUAACUUCGUG